GGUUAAGCGACUAAGCGUACACGGUGGAUGCCCUGGCAGUCAGAGGCGAUGAAGGGCGUGCUAAUCUGCGAUAAGCGCCGGUAAGGUGAUAUGAACCGUUAUAACCGGCGAUACCCGAAUGGGGAAACCCAGUGUGAUUCGUCACACUAUCAUUACGUGAAUACAUAGCGUAAUGAAGCGAACCGGGGGAACUGAAACAUCUAAGUACCCCGAGGAAAAGAAAUCAACCGAGAUUCCCCCAGUAGCGGCGAGCGAACGGGGAGGAGCCCAGAGCCUGAAUCAGCAUGUGUGUUAGUGGAAGCGUCUGGAAAGGCGCGCGAUACAGGGUGACAGCCCCGUACACAAAAGCGCAUGUGUUGUGAGCUCGAUGAGUAGGGCGGGACACGUGGUAUCCUGUCUGAAUAUGGGGGGACCAUCCUCCAAGGCUAAAUACUCCUGACUGACCGAUAGUGAACCAGUACCGUGAGGGAAAGGCGAAAAGAACCCCGGCGAGGGGAGUGAAAAAGAACCUGAAACCGUGUACGUACAAGCAGUGGGAGCACCCUUUGGGGUGUGACUGCGUACCUUUUGUAUAAUGGGUCAGCGACUUAUAUUCUGUAGCAAGGUUAACCGAAUAGGGGAGCCGGAGGGAAACCGAGUCUUAAUUGGGCGUUAAGUUGCAGGGUAUAGACCCGAAACCCGGUGAUCUAGCCAUGGGCAGGUUGAAGGUUGGGUAACACUAACUGGAGGACCGAACCGACUAAUGUUGAAAAAUUAGCGGAUGACCUGUGGCUGGGGGUGAAAGGCCAAUCAAACCGGGAGAUAGCUGGUUCUCCCCGAAAGCUAUUUAGGUAGCGCCUCGUGAAUUCAUCUCCGGGGGUAGAGCACUGUUUCGGCUAGGGGGCCAUCCCGGCUUACCAACCCGAUGCAAACUGCGAAUACCGGAGAAUGUUAUCACGGGAGACACACGGCGGGUGCUAACGUCCGUCGUGAAGAGGGAAACAACCCAGACCGCCAGCUAAGGUCCCAAAGUCAUGGUUAAGUGGGAAACGAUGUGGGAAGGCCCAGACAGCCAGGAUGUUGGCUUAGAAGCAGCCAUCAUUUAAAGAAAGCGUAAUAGCUCACUGGUCGAGUCGGCCUGCGCGGAAGAUGUAACGGGGCUAAACUAUGCACCGAAGCUGCGGCAGCGACACUGUGUGUUGUUGGGUAGGGGAGCGUUCUGUAAGCCUGUGAAGGUGUGUCGUGAGGCAUGCUGGAGGUAUCAGAAGUGCGAAUGCUGACAUAAGUAACGAUAAAGCGGGUGAAAAGCCCGCUCGCCGGAAGACCAAGGGUUCCUGUCCAACGUUAAUCGGGGCAGGGUGAGUCGACCCCUAAGGCGAGGCCGAAAGGCGUAGUCGAUGGGAAACGGGUUAAUAUUCCCGUACUUGGUGUUACUGCGAAGGGGGGACGGAGAAGGCUAUGUUGGCCGGGCGACGGUUGUCCCGGUUUAAGCGUGUAGGUGUGUGUUCCAGGUAAAUCCGGUUCACUUUAACACUGAGGCGUGACGACGAGGCACUACGGUGCUGAAGCAACAAAUGCCCUGCUUCCAGGAAAAGCCUCUAAGCAUCAGGUAACAUCAAAUCGUACCCCAAACCGACACAGGUGGUCAGGUAGAGAAUACCAAGGCGCUUGAGAGAACUCGGGUGAAGGAACUAGGCAAAAUGGUGCCGUAACUUCGGGAGAAGGCACGCUGACACGUAGGUGAAGUGAUUUACUCAUGGAGCUGAAGUCAGUCGAAGAUACCAGCUGGCUGCAACUGUUUAUUAAAAACACAGCACUGUGCAAACACGAAAGUGGACGUAUACGGUGUGACGCCUGCCCGGUGCCGGAAGGUUAAUUGAUGGGGUCAGCGCAAGCGAAGCUCCUGAUCGAAGCCCCGGUAAACGGCGGCCGUAACUAUAACGGUCCUAAGGUAGCGAAAUUCCUUGUCGGGUAAGUUCCGACCUGCACGAAUGGCGUAAUGAUGGCCAGGCUGUCUCCACCCGAGACUCAGUGAAAUUGAACUCGCUGUGAAGAUGCAGUGUACCCGCGGCAAGACGGAAAGACCCCGUGAACCUUUACUAUAGCUUGACACUGAACAUUGAGCCUUGAUGUGUAGGAUAGGUGGGAGGCUUUGAAGUGUGGACGCCAGUCUGCAUGGAGCCGACCUUGAAAUACCACCCUUUAAUGUUUGAUGUUCUAACGUGGACCCGUGAUCCGGGUUGCGGACAGUGUCUGGUGGGUAGUUUGACUGGGGCGGUCUCCUCCUAAAGAGUAACGGAGGAGCACGAAGGUUGGCUAAUCCUGGUCGGACAUCAGGAGGUUAGUGCAAUGGCAUAAGCCAGCUUGACUGCGAGCGUGACGGCGCGAGCAGGUGCGAAAGCAGGUCAUAGUGAUCCGGUGGUUCUGAAUGGAAGGGCCAUCGCUCAACGGAUAAAAGGUACUCCGGGGAUAACAGGCUGAUACCGCCCAAGAGUUCAUAUCGACGGCGGUGUUUGGCACCUCGAUGUCGGCUCAUCACAUCCUGGGGCUGAAGUAGGUCCCAAGGGUAUGGCUGUUCGCCAUUUAAAGUGGUACGCGAGCUGGGUUUAGAACGUCGUGAGACAGUUCGGUCCCUAUCUGCCGUGGGCGCUGGAGAACUGAGGGGGGCUGCUCCUAGUACGAGAGGACCGGAGUGGACGCAUCACUGGUGUUCGGGUUGUCAUGCCAAUGGCACUGCCCGGUAGCUAAAUGCGGAAGAGAUAAGUGCUGAAAGCAUCUAAGCACGAAACUUGCCCCGAGAUGAGUUCUCCCUGAGACUUAGAGUCUCCUGAAGGAACGUUGAAGACGACGACGUUGAUAGGCCGGGUGUGUAAGCGCAGCGAUGCGUUGAGCUAACCGGUACUAAUGAACCGUGAGGCUUAACCUU
rnacentral:rRNA from 1 species